ACGAACGCUGGCGGCAUGCCUUACACAUGCAAGUCGAACGCGAAAGUCCUUUCGGGGAUGAGUAGAGUGGCAAACGGGUGAGUAACGCGUGGGAAUCUACCUUUAGGUGCGGAAUAGCCUCGGGAAACUGGGAUUAAUACCGCAUGAUAUCUUCGGAUUAAAGAUUUAUCGCCUAAAGAUGAGCCCGCGUCAGAUUAGCUAGUUGGUGGGGUAAAAGCCUACCAAGGCAACGAUCUGUAGCUGGUCUGAGAGGACGAUCAGCCACACUGGGACUGAGACACGGCCCAGACUCCUACGGGAGGCAGCAGUGGGGAAUAUUGGACAAUGGGCGCAAGCCUGAUCCAGCAAUGCCGCGUGAAUGAUGAAGGCCUUAGGGUUGUAAAGUUCUUUUAGUGGGGAAGAUAAUGACGGUACCCACAGAAAAAGCACCGGCUAACUUCGU
rnacentral:rRNA from 1 species